rnacentral:rRNA from 1 species
AUACGUAGGUGGCAAGCGUUGUCCGGAUUUAUUGGGCGUAAAGCGAGCGCAGGCGGUUUUUUAGGUCUGAUGUGAAAGCCUUCGGCUUAACCGGAGAAGUGCAUCGGAAACCGGGAGACUUGAGUGCAGAAGAGGACAGUGGAACUCCAUGUGUAGCGGUGAAAUGCGUAGAUAUAUGGAAGAACACCAGUGGCGAAGGCGGCUGUCUGGUCUGUAACUGACGCUGAGGCUCGAAAGCAUGGGUAGCGAACAGGAUUAGAUACCCUGGUAGUCCAUGCCGUAAACGAUGAGUGCUAAGUGUUGGAGGGUUUCCGCCCUUCAGUGCUGCAGCUAACGCAUUAAGCACUCCGCCUGGGGAGUACGACCGCAAGGUUGAA